rnacentral:tRNA from 1 species
GCAAUAAUAGCUUAAAAUAAAGCAUUGGUCUUGUAAGCCAAAGAUAAAAAUCAAUUUUUUAUUGCU